AUGACAGAAGGGCAAGAGAGCAAGUAUAUGUCAAGCUUAUGCUGAAAUCACAUCCACUAACAUCUCAUUGACCAAAUCAUGUCAUAUAGCCAAGCCCAACAUCAAUGGGAUAUGGAAGCAUUCUCUGUCCACAGUAGGAGAGAAAGAUUAUAUUUACUAAAAGAUAUAACUGGAAAAUGCCUCCAAACAGAUGCUAGUCUUUACAUCAGUGGCUCUCAGAUAGAUUGUUUCUUGAUGUCCUACAACCCAUGAUUAAAGAACUUCUGGCUUCCUUCUUAGUAAUCUACAUAUUUGCUUCAAGCCUUCAACUUUUUGAAACCCCAGAGGAUCAUUUCAUGGUAAAAGUAACAUCAAUUUUGACAACUGCCCACAGACAAGAACACCUUUGUGGGAGUAUAGAAAUGCAGCAGAGAAGUUCCAGCAAACCAUUGGAGAAAAAAAAGUUAAAAAAUACAGACAUCG